UACGAAGGGAGCUAGCGUUGUUCGGAAUCACUGGGCGUAAAGCGCACGUAGGCGGAUGUGUCAGUCAGGGGUGAAAUCCCGGAGCUCAACUUCGGAACUGCCUCUGAUACAGCACGUCUUGAGUCCGAUAGAGGUGGGUGGAAUUCCUAGUGUAGAGGUGAAAUUCGUAGAUAUUAGGAAGAACACCGGUGGCGAAGGCGGCCCACUGGAUCGGUAUUGACGCUGAGGUGCGAAAGCGUGGGGAGCAAACAGG
rnacentral:rRNA from 1 species